rnacentral:lncRNA from 10 species
CUAUCAUUCAGUUUCAACAAUUAUGAAUUCACAACCAAUAGUUUAUAAUGAUUUGACAAAUGCCUAUGAUAUAUGAACCAUGUAUCAGGUCCCAAGCCAGGCCCUAGGGAUCUAAAGACGAAUCAGAUUUGACUGCAUCUCACCUGGAGGAAAUGACAUCUGACCUGGGUUCUUGAAAGAUGAAGAAGAAUUACCCAGAAGAACAAAAGUGUCCUCAUUCAUUCAUUCAUUCAUUUUCUUUCAUCAAAUAAUUACUAUGUAUGAGGUACUGUCCUUGGUGCUAGCAACAGGUCAAGAAACAAGAUACAGUUCCGUCUCUCAUACAGCUUGAAAUUUAACAGGGGAAAGAGACAUUAAAUAUGUAAUUAGGAAUGUGAUGAGUGUCUUGAAGGAGAUGUACCGGGAGCUAUGUGAGUGGGCUUAAUUUGGCCUGGGAAGUUUAGGAGGCUUUCAUAGGAAGUGACAAUUCAGUGAGGGAAAGGGAUGAAGGAGCUAGAGGUCAGCCAGGAGAAGAGAAAAGUAUUCCAAGUAGCAGGAGAAAUACAGGAAGGUCAGUAUGGGUGUUGAUAUAGUUUGGAUAUUUGUCCCUGAUCAAAUCUCAUGUUGAAUUGUAAUCCCCAAUGCUGGAGGUGGGGUCUGGUGGGAGGUGUUCAGGUCGUAGGGGUGGAUCUCUCAU